rnacentral:rRNA from 1 species
GAUGAACGCUGGCGGCGUGCCUAACACAUGCAAGUCGAGCGAACAGAUAAGAAGCGUUUGCUCUUACCGUUAGCGGCGGACGGGCGAGUAAGACGUGGAUAACAUUCUUCUUUUACGUGGGUGAUAUCGGGAAACAGCUGCCACUAAUAGAGCAUACGUCGUACGGCAUAGAUCAGUAGUUAUUCAGAGCUUUCCCGUCAGUAUUAGCUGAUGUCGCAUUAGCUAGUUGGCUGGGUAACGUCACACCAAGGCAACGAUACGUAGCCGGCCUGAGAGGAUGAUCGGCCACACUGGAACUGAGACACGGUCCAGACUCCUACGGGAGGCAGCAGUGGGGAAUCUUGGGCAAUGGGCGAAAGCCUGACGCAGCAAUGCCGCGUGAGUGAUGAAGGUCUUCGGAUCGUAAAGCUCUGUUGUUGGGGAAGAAAAGAUGUAGGUUAAACUAUGCACGUCUUGACGGUACCUAAUCAGAAAGCCACGGCUAACUACGUG